rnacentral:rRNA from 1 species
GAUGAACGCUAGCUACAGGCUUAACACAUGCAAGUCGAGGGGCAGCAUGAACAAAGCUUGCUUUGUUCGAUGGCGACCGGCGCACGGGUGAGUAACGCGUAUCCGACCUGCCCAUGACUCGGGCACAGCCGCUCGAAAGAGCGAUUGAUUCCCGAUAUGUCGUUAGAGUAGAUCUAAUGAUGAAAGAUUCAUCGGUCAUGGAUGGGGAUGCGUAGGAUUAGGUAGUAGGCGGGGUAACGGCCCACCUAGCCGACGAUCCUUAGGGGUUCUGAGAGGAAGGUCCCCCCANACUGGUACUGAGACACGGACCAGACUCCUACGGGAGGCAGCAGUGAGGAAUAUUGGUCAAUGGGCGGAAGCCUGAACCAGCCAAGUAGCGUGAAGGAUUACUGCCCUACGGGUUUUAAACUCUUUUAUGCGAGAGUAAUGUGCGCUACGUGUAGCGUAUUGCAAGUAUCGCAUGAAUAAGCAUCGGCUAACUCCG